CAAUAGCGUAUAUUUAAGUUGUUGCAGUUAAAAGCUCGUAGUUGGAUUUCGGAUGGGUUUGACCGGUCCGCCGUUUCGGUGUGCACUGGUCGUACCUAUCUUGCUGUCGGGGACGCGCUUCUGGCCUUAAUUGGCUGGGACGCGGAGUCGGCGAUGUUACUUUGAAAAAUUAGAGUGUUCAAAGCAGGCCUAAGCUCUGAAUACAUUAGCAUGGAAUAACGCUAUAGGACUCUGGUCUUAUUGCGUUGGUCUUCGAGACCGGAGUAAUGAUUAAGAGGGACAGUUGGGGGCAUUCGUAUUUCAUUGUCAGAGGUGAAAUUCUUGGAUUUAUGAAAGACGAACUUCUGCGAAAGCAUUUGCCAAGGAUGUUUUCAUUAAUCAAGAACGAAAGUUGGGGGCUCGAAGACGAUUAGAUACCGU
rnacentral:rRNA from 1 species